ACUAUUUUCUAUCUUACUAUUUUACUAUUAUCUACUAAGUUCAUUGCAUUUAUUACGUAUAUACUCUUUACUACUAAGAAGUUUUAAGGUUUUAUUACAGUGUAUUUUAUAUGCCCGAUCUCUCUUUACUUUAGUUUAUUGUUCAUUAGGUUUAUUAUGUUAAUCAUAUAUUUGCUGGAAUAUAUAGACCAGUGUUUGGGAAGCAUAAAGCACUGGUCGCAUCAAUUUUAGUUUCCAUUGCAGUGUUUACUGCUAUUCUGGUGUUGUGUGGUUGUUGUUUUAUUCCCUGUCUGCAUUCUUUGUUGAAUCGUCUCAUCACUACAGCAAUUUCACCCAUGGAGGACAAAAUGGCACAGAUGUAUCCCCUAUUAGCCCACGAUGACAAUGAUGAAAACAGCGAUGAGGAGCCAGGUGUUUGAACCUGACAUUUAAUUGGUCCUUCGAGCCGGAUCCCAAUACACCAGAUGAUUCCUGUGGGUGAGGUGAACCGGGUAAAAGUCAGUGGCCACUGCAUUCAGAUCCUUUUCCAAGGGCCUAGUCCAUCUCGCCUCCGGGUUUCUGACUGUUGACGGGAAGUCCGAGGGAGGAUUGACAGCAGUGGCUGGAGAGCAGAGGUCCACUUCUCUCCGGGAACCCAG